rnacentral:rRNA from 1 species
UUGACCUACCAUCAAGUAGGAAUACCCACUGAACUAACUCAUAUAAUAAACCAAAAAGAAAGAA